rnacentral:lncRNA from 10 species
GAAAAACUUUUCAUAAUUACUCCCCAAAAUAUCUGCCAACUCUAACCUGAUAUCUUCAAUUUUACCCGAUGACUAAGAACUAUAGGAAGAGAGAGAUUUCUCAUUCUCAGAUCUAUUUUGACACUGUCCAAGUGAUAAUAGAAUCCAGUCGCUCCUCACACAGUCCCAGAGUCAGCCCUAGGGGGAAGGAGGCUCCCUGCUUUAUUACAUCUUAAAAGAUGGAAGACAGUGUGGCGGUUCCUCAAAGACCUAGAACCAGAAAUACCAUUUGACCCAGCAAUCCCAUUACUGGAUAUAUACCUAAAAGAUUAUAAAUUAUUCUACUAUAAAGACACAUGCACAUGUAUGUUUACUGAAGCACUAUUUACAAUAGUAAAGACUUGGAACGAACCCAAAUGCCCAUCGAUGAUAGACUGGAUAAAGAAAAUGUGGCAUAUCUACACCAUGGAAUACUAUGCAGCCAUCAAAAAGAAUGAUAGGAUUGCAGGGAAAUGUAUGAAGCUGGAAGCCAUCAUUCUCAGCAAACUAACACUGGAACUGAAAACCAAACACCACAUGUUCUCACUUUUAAGUGAGAGUUGAACAAUGAGAAUAUGUGGACACAGGUAGGGGAACAUCACACACUGGGGCCUGUUGUGGGGUGAGGGGCAAGGGGUGGGAGAGCAUUAGGACAAAUACCUAAUGCAUGCAAGGCUUAAAACCUAGAUGACAGGUUGAUGGGUGCAGCAAACCACCAUGGCACAUGUAUACCUAUGUAACAAACCUGCACAUUCUGCACAUGUAUGUUAUCGAAAACAUAGGAGUAAACCUUUAUGACCUUGGGUUAGGCAAUUACCUUAGCUAUGACAUCAUCUCGGAUAUGUCAUCUUAUGUUUGACAGAAUUUCUUUUGGGGGUAAUGAAACAUUCUAAAAUUGAUUUUGAUGAUUGUACAACUCUGUGAAUAUACUAAAGAGUAUUGACUUAAACAAUUUGAAUUACCACCUACAAUGGUAUAUGAAAUACAUCUCAAUAAAGCUGUUAGUAAUCACAUUUUAAAGAUUUAAUUUAUAUUAAACAACCAGAUAUAUAAAAUUCUGGUUCAUAUCUUUAGUAAAUAUUGGGAUAUGGGGGGAAAUAUAGAGAAAAUAGAGCAAAAAUUCUGGCUAAAUGAAAAAUGAAUGUGUGAGUAUACUGAGACAACAAUGUAUUAUGUAAAAAGAUAUCAAAUAAAUCAGCUAAAAUUUCAACUUUAUCCUUCUAUUUUCCAUGGCGUGGUAAGAUACAGUUUAUUCCCUCUAAACAUUGUCAUUCUCCCAUUGUGAAAUAUAUUGCUAUACCUAUUUAGUGACAUAAACACAGAGCUCCAAAAACUUUACCUAAAUAAGUAAACUGAUUUCAUCUUGCUAGUGGUAACAAUUCCCUUUGAUUUGCAAGUUAAUCUGAACCACUCCUAUAAGAAUAACCUUUUGUUAUUAGGUGUGCCUACUGGGCCAGCUCUGUGGGCAAACCUUGUUUACCCACAGAAAAUAAAGAUGAAUGAAUAAGUACAGACAGAAGAUUUCAAAUUAUCACCCAAGCUGCAUCACGUGCCUUCAAAUCUCUUUUAAAGUUACAGGUUAUAUAUAUUUUUUUCAUUUGGUUUAAGAACUCAAAGAGAUUUCAGUGAAUAUAUGGUCAUAAUUUUGUUGCAGAAAUACCUGGUAAUUUUACAAAUUACAUAGACCAUUUGGAAUAUAUUUUCUGCUUUGGUAAUGAGUCCACUUAUAUCGCUGAAGUUAUGCAUGUUAGUUCCACAUUUUACAUUAUUUAAUCUACUUUCCACACUCCUCAUUUUCUAUAGAAUGUGUUUUUUUCCAAAUUAUAAUUUGUCAAUAAAUGCUGAUAUUCUUAAUUUAUACUCACAGAGUUCCUGAGUUUAUUAAUAGAAAUACACAUUUGUAUGCUAUGUCAAAAUAUUUGGCUCUGUAAACUCCCUCUAUUAUUGUGAAACUGAAUUAAUACAAAGUCUACUAAUCAGAAAUCUGGAAGAAACUCUUUGGUAAAAUAGAAUUAGCACAGGUUUUGGAAUCAGGGAGACUGGUGUUAAAAAAAAUUGGGUUCAACCCUUUAUUAUUUGAGAGACAUAAACAAAGUACUUAAAUACUUUAGAGCCAC